rnacentral:rRNA from 1 species
CCUACGGGUGGCAGCAGUGAGGAAUAUUGGUCAAUGGACGAGAGUCUGAACCAGCCAAGUAGCGUGAAGGAUGACUGCCCUAUGGGUUGUAAACCUCUUUAGGCGGGGAGCAAUGCCGGGCACGCGUGCCCGGGGGGAGAGUACCCGCAGAAUAAGCAUCGGCUAACUCCGUGCCAGCAGCCGCGGUAAUACGGAGGAUGCGAGCGUUAUCCGGAUUUAUUGGGUUUAAAGGGUGCGUAGGCGGAUUUUUAAGUCAGCGGUAAAAUGUCCGGGCUCAACCCGGGCCGGCCGUUGAAACUGGGGAUCUUGAGUGGGAGAGAAGUAUGCGGAAUGCGUGGUGUAGCGGUGAAAUGCAUAGAUAUGACGCAGAACUCCGAUUGCGAAGGCAGCAUACCGGCGCUCGACUGACGCUGAGGCACGAAAGCGUGGGGAUCGAACAGGAUUAGAUACCCGAGUAGUC